rnacentral:rRNA from 1 species
UACAGGGGGGGCAAGCGUUGUUCGGAAUUACUGGGCGUAAAGGGCCAGUAGGCGGCCAACUAAGUCACACGUGAAAUCCCCGGGCUUAACCUGGGAACUGCACUUGAAACUACGAUGCUGGAGUAUGGCAGAGGGGGGUGGAAUUCCGCGUGUAGCAGUGAAAUGCGUAGAGAUGCGGAGGAACACCGAUGGCGAAGGCAGCCCCCUGGGCUGACACUGACGCUCAGGCACGAAAGCGUGGGGAGCAAACAGG